GAUGAACGCUAGCGGCAGGCCUAACACAUGCAAGUCGAGGGAGAGGUUAUCUUCGGGUAACCAAAACCGGCGCACGGGUGCGUAACGCGUAUACAAUCUGCCUUUCACAUAGGGAUAGCCCGAAGAAAUUUGGAUUAAUACCUAAUGGUAUAUAAGAGCGGCAUCGUUUUUAUAUUAAAGCUACGGUGGUGAAAGAUGAGUAUGCGUUCUAUUAGCUAGUUGGAGAGGUAACGGCUCCCCAAGGCGACGAUAGAUAGGGGUUCUGAGAGGGAUGUCCCCCACACUGGUACUGAGAUACGGACCAGACUCCUACGGGAGGCAGCAGUGAGGAAUAUUGGACAAUGGUCGGAAGACUGAUCCAGCCAUGCCGCGUGCAGGAUGAAGGUCCUAUGGAUUGUAAACUGCUUUUGUAAGGGAAGAAUAAGGAGUACGUGUACUUUGAUGACGGUACCUUACGAAUAAGCAUCGGCUAACUCCGUGCCAGCAGCCGCGGUAAUACGGAGGAUGCGAGCGUUAUCCGGAAUCAUUGGGUUUAAAGGGUCCGUAGGCGGGCUGAUAAGUCAGAGGUGAAAGCGCUUAGCUCAACUAAGCAACUGCCUUUUGAAACUGUCAGUCUUGAAUGAUUGUGAAGUAGUUGGAAUGUGUAGUGUAGCGGUGAAAUGCUUAGAUAUUACACAGGACACCGAUAGCGAAGGCAUUAUUUCUAACAUUUAUUGACGCUGAUGGACGAAAGCGUGGGGAGCAACAGG
rnacentral:rRNA from 1 species